rnacentral:rRNA from 1 species
AGAGUUGUAUCCUGGCUCAGGAUGAACGCUGGCUGUAUGCCUAACACAUGCAAGUCGUACGAGAGUUUUUAACUCUAGUGGCGGACGGGUGAGUAACACGUGAGAAUUUGCCUUUAGGAGGGGGACAACAACUGGAAACGGCUGCUAAUACCCCAUAUGCUUUCGAGUGAAAUGGAUUUUUCCGCCUAGAGAGAAGCUUGCGGCUGAUUAGCUUGUUGGUGAGGUAAUGGCUCACCAAGGCGACGAUCAGUAUCUGGUUUGAGAGGACGAUCAGACACACUGGAACUGAGACACGGUCCAGACUCCUACGGGAGGCAGCAGUAGGGAAUUUUCCGCAAUGGGCGAAAGCCUGACGGAGCAAUCUCGCGUGAGGGAUGACGGCCUAUGGGUUGUAAACCUCUUUUUUCAGGGAGGAAUAAAUGACGUGUACCUGAAGAAUAAGCAUCGGCUAACUCCGUGCCAGCAGCCGCGGUAAGACGGAGGAUGCAAGUGUUAUCCGGAAUCACUGGGCGUAAAGCGUCUGUAGGUGGUUUAAUAAGUCAACUGUUAAAUCUUGAAGCUCAACUUCGAAAUCGCAGUCGAAACUAUUAGACUAGAGUAUAGUAGGGGUAAAGGGAAUUUCCAGUGGAGCGGUGAAAUGCGUAGAGAUUGGAAAGAACACCGAUGGCGAAGGCACUUUACUGGGCUAUUACUAACACUCAGAGACGAAAGCUAGGGUAGCAAAUGGGAUUAGAUACCCCAGUAGUCCUAGCCGUAAACAAUGGAUACUAGAUGU